rnacentral:misc_RNA from 1 species
AGCAGCCGCGGUAAUUCCAGCUCCAAUAGCGUAUAUUAAAGUUGUUGCAGUUAAAAAGCUCGUAGUUGAAUUUCGGGAUCAAUAUGUUGGUCGUGCCUCGGUACGUACUAGCAUAUUGGUUUCUCCUUUCUGAAGAACCAUGAUGCCAUUUAUUUGGUGUCGUGGGGAAUCAGGACUGUUACUUUGAAAAAUUAGAGUGUUCAAAGCAGGCUCACGCUUGAAUACAUUAGCAUGGAAUAAUGAAAUAGGACGUUUGAUUCUAUUUUGUUGGUUUCUAGGAUCGACGUAAUGAUUAAUAGGGAUAGUUGGGGGCAUUAGUAUUCAAUUGUCAGAGGUGAAAUUCUUGGAUUUAUUGAAGACUAACUACUGCGAAAGCAUUUGCCAAGGAUGUUUUCAUUAAUCAAGAACGAAAGUUAGGGGAUCGAAGACGAUCAGAUACCGUCGUAGUCUUAACCAUAAACUAUGCCGACUAGGGAUCGGAUGAUGUUAAUUUUAAUGUACUCAUUCGGUCCG